GAUGAACGCUAGCUACAGGCUUAACACAUGCAAGUCGAGGGGAAACGACAUCGAAAGCUUGCUUUUGAUGGGCGUCGACCGGCGCACGGGUGAGUAACGCGUAUCCAACCUGCCCACCACUUGGGGAUAACCUUGCGAAAGUAAGACUAAUACCCAAUGAUAUCCCACGAAGACAUCUGAAUGGGAUUAAAGAUUUAUCGGUGAUGGAUGGGGAUGCGUCUGAUUAGCUUGUUGGCGGGGUAACGGCCCACCAAGGCAACGAUCAGUAGGGGUUCUGAGAGGAAGGUCCCCCACAUUGGAACUGAGACACGGUCCAAACUCCUACGGGAGGCAGCAGUGAGGAAUAUUGGUCAAUGGGCGAGAGCCUGAACCAGCCAAGUAGCGUGCAGGAAGACGGCCCUAUGGGUGGUAAACUGCUUUUAUAAGGGAAUAAAGUGGGUCACGUGUGACUUUUUGCAUGUACCUUAUGAAUAAGGACCGGCUAAUUCCGUG
rnacentral:rRNA from 1 species